CUCUAAUGUGCCUUCUAACAAAUCGAAACCCAUAGUUUCGGAGGAUGUGACAAGUAUUCUAUAUUAUCUCAUUUAUCUUUCAAAACCAAAUCUCGUCUUCGUAGUUUGUUCAAGUUAUUUUACGCUUCUGUCUAUCGGCCGUGUGCUUACAAAUGCGUGGAAAGACUGGGCUCUACUGGCUUCAAAAUAUCGACUGAGUACUUCCAGAAGUAAAGAAUUUUUCUAUCCAGUAUUCCAUAGAUCAGAGGAUUCAACGAAUGUAAGCCAAAAAUGCGGACAACAGAAGCAAUGUUCUGAUUAGUUGAAGUAUUUGAUGAAAGCGCGUUGUUGAUAUCCAUUGCAUCCACAACUAGAAGCAUCUCGAUGACGACUUGAGCUGGUGGAGGAUUGUAGAUGAGAAUGUGUCGGAUUGGAGUUAGUUCUUAGUGCUUUUCUUUGUUUCAUCAAUGCUUGAGCGAUUAUGGAGUAAGUCACAGUCAUGAAGGUUAUUGGGAAAAUGUAGACACAUGAAUAAAACGCACACAAUUCGUAAAUGUAAUAACGACCUUGAGGAUCCACAAUGCACUCUUGAAAUGUCAUUCCAACUGUCGUAACAAAACCAAUGAUGUACGCUAAACCACAAACGAUUUUUAUCUUUCUUCGACUGAAAGAAAGUUUCAAUGGAUGAA